GUACACUCCUGCGGGAGGCAGCAGUGGGGAAUUUUGGACAAUGGGCGAAAGCCUGAUCCAGCAAUGCCGCGUGAGUGAAGAAGGCCUUCGGGUUGUAAAGCUCUUUUGUCAGGGAAGAAACGGUGAAAGCUAAUAUCUUUUGCUAAUGACGGUACCUGAAGAAUAAGCACCGGCUAACUACGUGCCAGCAGCCGCGGUAAUACGUAGGGUGCAAGCGUUAAUCGGAAUUACUGGGCGUAAAGCGUGCGCAGGCGGUUUUGUAAGUCUGAUGUGAAAUCCCCGGGCUCAACCUGGGAAUUGCAUUGGAGACUGCAAGGCUAGAAUCUGGCAGAGGGGGGUAGAAUUCCACGUGUAGCAGUGAAAUGCGUAGAUAUGUGGAGGAACACCGAUGGCGAAGGCAGCCCCCUGGGUCAAGAUUGACGCUCAUGCACGAAAGCGUGGGGAGCAAACAGGAUUAGAUACCCCAGUAGUCCAU
rnacentral:rRNA from 1 species